rnacentral:rRNA from 1 species
CUUGCUUUCUUUUGUCUGGCGACCGGCGCACGGGUGGGUAACACGUAUCCAACCUGCCCUUUACUCGGGGAUAGCCUUUCGAAAGAAAGAUUAAUACCCGAUAGUAUAAUGAUUCCGCAUGGUUUCAUUAUUAAAGGAUCCGGUAAAGGAUGGGGAUGCGUUCCAUUAGGUUGUUGGUGAGGUAACGGCUCACCAAGCCUUCGAUGGAUAGGGGUUCUGAGAGGAAGGUCCCCCACAUUGGAACUGAGACACGGUCCAA